rnacentral:misc_RNA from 1 species
UCCGGUUUGUCACCGGCAGUCUCGCAUGAGUCCCCAACUAAAUGCUGGCAACAUACGACGGGGGUUGCGCUCGUUGCGGGACUUAACCCAACAUCUCACGACACGAGCUGACGACAGCCAUGCACCACCUGUGAAGAUCCAGCCAAACUGACCCUGUGUUUCCACACCGGUCACCAACAUGUCAAGCCCAGGUAAGGUUCUUCGCGUUGCGUCGAAUUAAACCACAUGCUCCGCUGCUUGUGCGGGUCCCCGUCAAUUCCUUUGAGUUUUAGCCUUGCGGCCGUACUCCCCAGGCGGGGCACUUACUGCGUUAGCGACGGCACGGGAGGAGUCGACACCUCCCACACCUAGUGCCCAUCGUUUACGGCGUGGACUAC